UGGGGAAUCUUGCACAAUGGGGGCAACCCUGAUGCAGCGACGCCGCGUGAGCGAUGAAGCCCUUCGGGGUGUAAAGCUCUUUCGGCAGGGAAGAUAAUGACGGUACCUGCAGAAGCAGCUGCGGCUAACUACGUGCCAGCAGCCGCGGUAAUACGUAGGCAGCAAGCGUUGUUCGGAGUUACUGGGCGUAAAGGGUGUGUAGGCGGUUCUCUAAGUCUGGUGUGAAAUCUCCCGGCUCAACUGGGAGGGUGCGCCGGAAACUGGAGGGCUUGGAGUGUGGGAUGGGAGAGUGGAAUUCCUGGUGUAGCGGUGAAAUGCGUAGAUAUCAGGAGGAACACCUGCGGUGUAGACGGCUCUCUGGACCAUAACUGACGCUGAAACACGAAAGCGUGGGUAGCAAACAG
rnacentral:rRNA from 1 species